UGAGUUGGUUAUUCAAUCUUGCGAUAUUUAACAGUAGCAAGAUUGGUAACCAACACUAA
ensembl:miRNA cin-mir-4003b cin-mir-4003b